rnacentral:lncRNA from 10 species
AAAUGAAGUGCGCGCUGCGACACCUCCCAGCCCACCGAACUCCGCCGCCAUUUCCUCGCUUGGCCUAACGGUUCGGCCAAUCCCAGCGCGCAUCAAGAAGGACUGAGGCUCCGCCAAUCGGAGGCCGCCGAUUUCGACCCUUCGCCUCGGCCCGGCCCAAUCCAGGCCCCGGCCCCGCCGCCCCCGGCCCGCCCCCGCGGUGCCCUCUCUCCUCCCUCUUUGUGCGUCUCGCGCCGCCGCCGCCCGCCGCGUGAGAGGACGGGCUCCGCGCGCUCCGGCAGCGCAUUCGGGUCCCCUCCCCCCGGGAGGCUUGCGAAGGAGAAGCCGCCGCAGAGGAAAAGCAGGUGCCGGUGCCUGUCCCCGGGGGCGCCAUGGCGACCGGAGCGAACGCCACGCCGUUGGACUUCCCAAGUAAGAAGCGGAAGAGGAGCCGCUGGAACCAAGACACAAUGGAACAGAAGACAGUGAUUCCAGGAAUGCCUACAGUUAUUCCCCCUGGACUUACUCGAGAACAAGAAAGAGCUUAUAUAGGUAAAUAUACGUUCUGCAUCCAAAUGCACUUUGAGAUUGUUACGAUUUAUUCUGAGCAAGAUCUGCAUUUUUUGAAAGUUUGAGAUUGUAGUUAUCUUUUUUGAGAUGAGAUACUUUCACGACUUUGGUAUCAUCUGUCAGUUUUUGCCCAGUGAGUUCUGCAUUUGCAGCUCCUUGUUUUGGUCUGUUCGUAACUGCAGUGUUCUCCAUGAGUAUCAGGAAGGUAGGGUUUCACUUAGGAGUAAGAACAGUCCCCAGUCCAGCAGCCACCCUUUUCAGCUGCUGUUCAUUGCCAGUUGAUGAGGUGAGUGUCAUCUGCCUCUCUGGACAGGCCCCAGUGGAGAACACCGCAGGUACUGUAAACCAAGUACUUUUCACAGCGUGGCCUUUCACCAUAAUUUUAUAUUUCUCCCCCUAAAAUGUGGUCUUUUACUUUUUAUAGGUACUUUCUG